GCCGGCGCCUGGGCAGAACGGAAGCCGGGUGGGGACAAAAAAGGCGACAAUGAUGUGCUUCCUAUCUUGUAAUGCAAUAGUGUGAAACAAAGAAUAUAUGACGCAGUGAGAGGGACCAAUUUUAUUUUUAUUUAUGCCUCAACAUAUGUUAUAGGGGCUGUACAUGUGCUUGGAGGCCUGUCCCGUGGAAGGUUUUGCCUGGCAACCAAACAGGGCAGAGAAAGCCUCCAUAAUCGGGCAGUGAGGCAUUGGCCAGUGGGGCACAUGCCCGCCAAAAAAUGCCAGCCAAAUCAGGCUGUGGGAGGAGCCAUAGCAGAUUAGAGCAGCUAGCUGUGACACAACACCAGCCGUUUUUGCUUUGGGUUUCUUAGACGGAUCAAGGGCUCUCUCGGAGGGUCAGCUAGGUCCUUUUCUGCCUCAGGCCUCCCGCCUUUGGCCUCCCGCCUUUUUCUCCCAGUGGUCCUUCUUUCUGCCCGUACAUGCUUUGCCCUGCAUCACCUUUUGCGCAAACCAGCUCACCAGAGGGACGACCUCGUGCUCUGCUGCGACGGAGCAGGCACCGCUGCAGCCAGUCGCCCCCGUGGUGUUUCCCAGGCACAGCCAACGCCAGCCUGCACCCAGCCGCAGCCGCCACCAUUGCUGUGUUUCCUGCGCUGCCCGCUGCACUAACCUACCGUAGCACUAGCCCCUAGCGACCAGCCCGUCACCACCCCGGUGCCCAGCCGCCACUGUGGCCUCCACCGUGUUUCCCGCACUGCAGCCGCAGCCGCCGCUGGUGCCUGCACUCGAUCGCGCUCGCAGCCGCGGCGCCCCGACCUGGGAAACCUUAGGUGUUCCAGGACUGUGCCCGGACCACGACAACCUGUUCUCUACCGACAGAGGUGUUAAAAACGGGACCACGCUCCCGGUACUAAAAUUUAUUUCGGCAUUUAUUGUAAUAAAAAAGAAAGGCCUAAAUUGAAAUUACUUUAAGGGGGCCCGCAGGCUGAGCAGGAGCGUUCCCAUCGAGGAUGCUGCGGCACUGGCGUUGGGUCUUCUCCAGCGAUGUCCCCAACGUUCCAGGUGGAGCAGCAUAAGUUCAGUGGAGGGAACACGCGGUCUGCAGCUGUUUGGAAAUUGUGCCCAGCCCGCCAAGGGAGCUAUGCAAACACACCCCGGUUCGCAGCAUGCAUGCUCCGCCUGCCAAGCCAGCGCUGACGAAGGGCCGGGGUUCUUGUGGUAGCGCUGUCUUCUGUUUCUUUCUCCGUCUCUCUUUUUUCCUCUCUGCUCCUUUUCCUAUCUCGCUUUUGUAGGAACACUUACCCUUCUUUAUCAGUAAAUGGGUCUCAGAUCUAA